GAACUCGCUUUCGGCCGCGGUCAGGACGCCGCUGCAGAGCUCCGCCCGCUCUCCUUCAAGCUCGCCCGGUCACCAGCGGCACCACCUUCUUGGAGUCCUGCAAGCCUUCUUCAGGUCACCCCAGCACUGAGGCCGUCACUUUCUCAGGUUCCUGCGUCUAGCAGCACUCGAGGUUACUCACCGGCGCCAUUGGAGGGCAACGACGCAGUGGCCAAGCUUCUUCGAGCCUUAGGCACCGGUUUUCCAAAGAACCAGCCGACAGACAAGCCGGUCGAUGGAAGACUCCGACUCCGACAAAGAGUUCUUGCGAAGCGCGGCGUUUUCGGAGCUUGAAAUAUCAGCCGUCGAAUACAGCCAGGUGUCGU